rnacentral:rRNA from 1 species
AACGAACGCUGGCGGCAGGCCUAACACAUGCAAGUCGAGCGGACCCUUCGGGGUUAGCGGCGGACGGGUUAGUAACGCGUGGGAACGUGCCCAAAGGUACGGAAUAGCCUCGGGAAACUGAGAGUAAUACCGUAUGUGCCCCUCGGGGGAAAGAUUUAUCGCCUUUGGAUCGGCCCGCGUUGGAUUAGGUAGUUGGUGGGGUAAUGGCCUACCAAGCCGACGAUCUCUAGCUGGUCUGAGAGGAUGACCAGCCACACUGGAACUGAGACACGGUCCAGACUCCUACGGGAGGCAGCAGUGGGGAAUAUUGCACAAUGGGGGAAACCCUGAUCCAGCAAUGCCGCGUGUGUGAAGAAGGCCUGCGGGUUGUAAAGCACUUUCAGUGGGGAAGAACAGGUUCGGGUCAAUACCCCGGAGCCCUGACGUUACCCACAGAAGAAGCACCGGCUAACUCCGUGCCAGCAGCCGCGGUAAUGUGGGACUGU